rnacentral:lncRNA from 1 species
UUUCGUCUGGCAAAAUUUUCGUCUGUCCUCUUCCCCGUGUUUUUUCCCCACCAUGCCUGCGCACUUCACGGGCUCUUCAGUUUCCGUUCAGAACUCUACAACCUUGACAAUUUCUAAUACGGAUGCAUCCAGUGCAGGCUUUCUCUUCGUCUCUUGAAUCCGCAUCAAGUUCAAAGACAUCUAAAACCAAAUCUAAAUACAGAGGAAAAGGCACUAGAACAUGGAUUCGUAAAUUU